GAUGAACGCUGGCGGCGUGCCUAACACAUGCAAGUCGAACGGUGAAUGAGGGAGCUUGCUCCCUCCGGAUCAGUGGCGAACGGGUGAGUAACACGUCAGCAAUCUGCCCUGGACACUGGGAGAAGCGUUGGAAACGACGUCUAAUACCGGCUACGAGGCGUGGCGGCACCACCACCGCAUGGAAAGAACUUCGGUCCAGGAUGAGCUCGCGGCCUAGCAGCUAGCUGGUGAGGUACCGGGUCACCAAGGCGACGACGGGUAGCCGGCCUGCGAGGGUAAACCGCCACACAGGGGCUGAGACACGGCCCAGAAGCCUACGGGAGGCAGCAGUGGGGAAUAUUGCACAAUGGGCGCAAGCCUGACGCAGCAACGCCGCGAGAGGGACGACGGCCUUCGGGUUGUGAACCGCUUUUAGCAGGGAAGAAGCGAAAGUGACGGUACCUGCAGAAAAAGCACCGGCUAACUACGUGCCAGCCGCCGCAGUAAGAC
rnacentral:rRNA from 1 species